rnacentral:tRNA from 1 species
GCUGAUAUAGCUCAGUGGUAGAGCUCUUGCCUCUCAUGUGUGAAGUCCUGGGUUCAGUUCCCAGCAUUACA